rnacentral:lncRNA from 1 species
CACACAGGCUUGUUCGGCUCCCCUGUAGCUGGUCAUAAUUUCCCACUCAAUUAUCUUCACCAUAGAAUAGUAGGCAGAGGAACUGGGCCCAGCUUAUACAUUUCCAUGAAUAGGUCUCUGCCUAUUCAAUAAAUGACCCUUCUGGGAGUCUACAUCCGAAACAGUGAGUGACAGCCACCUGGGAGCAAGGAAUGCAGGGGAGAUUCAGUGCAUUUUCAGAGACUUCUGGGGGCCCAGGCUGCAGGGGACAAUGAUGGAAAAGAAAGACCAGUUGCUGUGUUUUCCUGGUGACAGACAUAGUGUUGGUGGCAUGGAUGAACUCCCCUGGGAACAGCACCGUGGCAAGAAUUUCCCAGGCUGAUCUAAUUCUCCUGU